AAUACACUUGUAUAAUAACUGAAAUUUAAUAAAACCUAAAAAGUAAUAAAAAUCUAUGUUGAUUUCACAUUUUAGUUAAGCAGGAGUCCGUGUUGAUUUCUACGCUAUAAUCUUAUCUUUCAAAUCUAUUCUUAUUUCUUAUCAUUCCAAAGUAAUGUAGUAGUUCUUGAAAGAAUGUAACAAUCUGUUUUAAAUUUAUCCAGGCUACUUUUAUCUCUCUAAAUGUUUGACUGUAUGUCGUUGAUGCAUUCUUCAAUGAUCAACAACUCCUUGAAAAUAUGUCAUACAAACAUUCAAUCUAUGCCGGCGCAUUUUAACUCAAUGAUAUCCUCAGCUCCUCUGGAUAUUGUAGUAUUAAGCGAGUCUUGACUCAAACCCAGUUUACAAUCGUAAGCUUACGGUAUUCUUGUUGAAUAUUUACUCUUAGGAACGACCAUUAGUAAAGGUGGCGGGGGAAUGAUUAUCUAUGUAAGAUGCUCUUUUCCGGCCCUGAGUGGUAAUGUCUCUGAAGCCGGUGCACUCUCAUUCUCCCGAAUUCCUUCUAGCUUCUACUUGAUGUAAGAGUGGGCGCUGAGUCCGUUUUCGUCCUUGGAGUUUAUCAGCCGCCAAGAGAGGGAGUCUCCUCACAUUAGAGGAUGCUCUGUUGACUAAAGUUAUGCAAUGAUAUAACCACAUAAUUUAUAAUUACAUAACACCUCAUCAGAGAACUUGAUAUGCUGAAAUUACGACAAAGACUAAAGUACUCAAUACUAUGUGAAACCUACAAAAUAAUUGUGGAGGGUACUGGUCCGGAAUAUUUGAGAAAAAUACUUGUAUCUUUCACAUAGGUUCAUCAGAAGGACACUUGGUCUCACCGCUGCUUUCUCUAGAUACCGUUGGAUAAUCUUUAUUAGAGUUGAAAAUUCUUAACAAAGGAAAAAAACUGAUGAACUUGCCAACUCCACUGAUACCUCACCAUAUUAUUUGUUUUACAUAGAGCAAUCCAAUAUUUUUAUACACUUAUGAAGUGUUUUAUCAAUAAACAUAAUGAAUAAAGUGUAUUUGAACAAACGAAAUUAACACUUGAAAAGUAAUGUUGUCUGUUUAUGUAAAGAGUUUGUCACAUUUUAUACUCUGAAAUUGUUUUAUAUAAUUUCAUUAUAAUUCUCAUAAUGUGUAAUAGAUUGCAUAAAAUUGUUAUUAAAAA